rnacentral:lncRNA from 1 species
AUUUCUCUAAGUCUGGAAUCUUCUUUUCUUCUUCUUUCUUUUUCCUUCUAUUCAAGUUUAUGUCUCAUUGAAGUUGUUCGGAGUGGCGCUAGGACAGUUUCUUGGUAAGUUCAUCAGCUUUACAAUAGUUUUUAAGGUUUGUGUUUGAUUAAAAAUGGUUAGAGGGUUUUGUGGUGGGAAGACCAGUAGUAGUAACGGUGGUAAGGAAUGGAAGAAAGGUAACAAUACUUGGCCAGUGAGGGUUCCUUAUGUCAGCAAUGC